AUGUUUUUUAUGACUGACAGGCUUCGGGUCUUUCAGGAUAUUGUUUUUGGUGGUGCAUGGCCGUUGGUGGUGCGUGGGUUGACCUGUCUAGCGUUGAUUCAGCUAACGAGCGAGAUUAUCGCCAAUUAUUUACUUUGCCGAAGUCCUUCGGUUAAAGUUCUAAUUGGGACUCCCUGCGAUUUUAGCAGGUGGAAGAGGGUAGCAAUAACAGGUCCGUGAUGCCCUUUAGAUGCUCUGGGCUGCACGCGUGCUACAAUGUUAGGAUCAAUAGGACUGCGAGCCUGAGAGGGUGCGCUACUCUUAUAAUCCCUAACGUAGUUGGGAUUGACGUUUGUAAUCAGCGUCAUGAACCAGGAAUCCCUUGUAAAUGUGUGUCAACAACGCACGUUGAAUACGUCCCUGCCCUUUGUACACACCGCCCGUCGCUCCUACCGAUUGGAUGACUCGGAUGAAAUCACCGGAUGCUUACGAGCAGAAAGUGAUUAAAUCACGUUAUCUAGAGGAAGGAGAAGUCGUAACAAGGUAACGGUAGGUGAACCUGCCGUUGGAUCAGUU
rnacentral:ncRNA from 1 species